AGAGUUUGAUCCUGGCUCAGAUUGAACGCUGGCGGCAUGCCUUACACAUGCAAGUCGAGCGGCAGCGCGGGGGCAACCCUGGCGGCGAGCGGCGGACGGGUGAGUAAUACAUCGGAACGUGUCCUUUCGUGGGGGAUAACCAGUCGAAAGACUGGCUAAUACCGCAUGAGAUCUCACGAUGAAAGCGGGGGACCCGUAAGGGCCUCGCGCGAUUGGAGCGGCCGAUGUCGGAUUAGCUAGUUGGCGGGGUAAAAGCCCACCAAGGCAACGAUCCGUAGCUGGUUUGAGAGAACGACCAGCCACACUGGGACUGAGACACGGCCCAGACUCCUACGGGAGGCAGCAGUGGGGAAUUUUGGACAAUGGGGGCAACCCUGAUCCAGCCAUGCCGCGUGUGUGAAGAAGGCCUUCGGGUUGUAAAGCACUUUCGGCCGGAACGAAAUCGCGCGGGCUAUUACCCCGCGUGGAUGACGGUACCGGAAGAAGAAGCACCGGCUAACUACGUGCCAGCAGCCGCGGUA
rnacentral:rRNA from 1 species